GGACAGGUGGCCGAGCGGUUGAAGGCGCACGCCUGGAAAGUGUGUAGACGUUAAUAGCGUCUCGCGGGUUCGAAUCCCGCCCUGUCCGCCA
rnacentral:tRNA from 1 species